rnacentral:lncRNA from 1 species
CUGGCACCCCUGGCGGCAGCAGCUCCUGGUGCUGCAGCUCUGAGCUGGCUCCAGUUUACCUUGGCUGGGACCUGCAGCUUUUUGGGUGCAAUCUGAGGUGUGCAAACACGGAAUCUGGAAUCCUGGAGGUGUCUGUGGGACACUGGAGGCACAACUCUUGAGCAAUGGCAGCUCCUCUGGAAAUUCAGGGGUUCAGGGGCACAGGGUUUCUGCCAAUGAGCUGAAUCCUUGUCUACCACUAAACAGAAAAGUUAAAUAGGUCUCACUUAAAGUCCAGACUACAGCAAAGGAGACAAGUUUGGGUCCUGCCUUGCUCGCAGACAGACUUUUCCCUGGGACGUGUGGAAGGGCAGCCCCAGCUGAUCACCUGCUUUGGGCUGCUUCUCUCUCUUCCCCUGAAACCUGUCCCUUCCCUUCCCUUCCCUUCCCUUCCCUUCCCUUCCCUUCCCUUCCCUUCCCUUCCCUUCCCUUCCCUUCCCUUCCCUUCCCUUCCCUUCCCUUCCCUUCCCUUCCCUUCCCUUCCCUUCCCUUCCCUUCCCUUCCCUUCCCUUCCCUUCCCUUCCCUUCCCUUCCCUUCCCUUCCCUUCCCUUCCCUUCCCUUCCCUUCCCUCGGCACAGCCUCUGCGCGGGGCUGGGAGCAGCCGGGAGCUGCCUGGACACGCAGCCCCGGCGAAACUGGAGCCCAGCCGGGGGAGCACAGCACGUGCUUGGCCACAGGAGCAGAUCCAGCCCCACGGAACGGCCCCGGGGCUCUCCCGAAACCCCCCUCCCCCCAGCAGCGUGGGAACUGCUGGGGACCCUGCAUGUCCCGACAGAGAGAGGAGAGGCUCCGCAGCAGCCUCCGGUGCUCCUGGGGUCAUCCCGCAGCGCUCGGCGCUUCGGGAGCAUCUCCUGCCUGCGGGAUCUGCGGUCACCCCGCUGGCAGGGGCUUCUCUGCUGCCUCAGGGAGCUGGAAUGGUGGCCCUGGCUGGGAAACCCUGCCCUGGGUGGGUGGCAGGAGGAGCAGGGAUCUCUGCACAGCCCCAACAUGC